rnacentral:lncRNA from 1 species
UGGGAAGCGUUCUGCUCUUCCUCCGACAGCCACGCAGCGAGCUCACGAGGCAGCCUCCACACAUAAUGAAAGCAAACGCCACCAUAAAUCUCCCGCUCGGCGGAGGUCACUUCAGAAAAAUCGCCCGCUGCUCAGAUAAGCACCAGCUUUGCUGAGGAACAUGGAAGGGGGAAAACACCGACUGUGAUAAACACCAGCAGCUCCCUGCCUUCCACCUCCCUGCUGCAAAAUGGAUCAAUCUAUAAUAAGUAGUAGUUAUAUAUCAUAAGGCAGCAAUUCCUUUUAGUUGUUCCACUAUAAAAAAGCAUCCAGAUUUAGAACUUGACAGGAACCAGUAUCGCCUGCCCCCCAGAGCCGGCAGAAAGUCUGUGUAUGUCAUUCAGCCAGCAUGGAGUCUGGGUGUUUUAAAAGCUUUAAUUUGAAGGGGAUAAAAAACCUGGGCGUUAAGCAAUUUGGCUGUGGAUAUUUAAUGCAUCAGCCACGCUAUAGAAUUGGAGUCCUCUAUUUAAAAUGAGAAAUUGAAAACUUACACGCUCUGUAGGCAAGGUGUAAGUAAAUGUAGGAUGGUAAGCAGAAAUCAGCUGAGAACCUGCAGAAACGCCAUUAGAAGGACUAAUGGCAUGGUUCAGAAGUGGCCUUAAACAAAUGCUAGGGUGUCGUUUGUAAGUGUGUAAAACAGGUCUGGCUUUUAAUUAGCAGGAGCCAUAUCUCCCUGUGUUUAGGAAAAGGCAUUACUUCUCAAAGAGAAUAUCCUAACGGGGUCUACAUAGGGACCAGGAGGAAACAAUGGCCCGGGAGUUGAGAUUUGCCUCAAGGCACGUUCCUCCUCAAUGGCAGCGUGGAGAUUGGAACUCAGUCUCCUUAUCUCUAAUUUCCACUCUAACACACUUAUUGUAGGUAGAAAAAAUGCAUCCCAAAGAUGUCUACUUCUUACUCCCCAGAACCUGUACAUACAGCACCUUACAUGGCAAAAGUGACUUUGCAGAUACGAUUGAGUUAAGGGUUUUGAGAUAGGGAGAUUACCAGGUGGCCCAACGGAAUCACAAGGGGCCUGAUAAGUAUGAGAGGGAGCAGAAGAGUGAGGGUCAGAGUCAGAGAGAGACUGGAAGAUGCUAUACCACUGGCUUUGAAGAUGAAGGAGGGGGACACAAGCCAAGGAAUGCAGGCAGCCUCUAAAUGCAGGAAAAGGUAAGGAAAUCGGUCUUACAGCCUCCAUAAAAAUGCCAUCCUGCCAAUGCCUUGAUUUCAGCCUCAUGAGACCCUUUCAGACUUCUGAUCUCUAGAACUGUAAGAGAAUACAUUGCGUUGUUUUAAGCCACUAAGUUUGUGAUGAUUUAUUACAGUACCAAGAGGAAAUCACUACAGUGUUCUAGCUGGGGAUCACAUUUCCCCACCUCAUUUUGAUCUACUCAAAGUAGUCCAUUACCUCAGUGCUGGUUAGAGUCUUUAUAAAAGCAAAAACAACAGAAUUCAGAUGCUUCUGCAGUUCUCUCUGGUAUGGAGAGCAGGUGUAAUCCCGAGACCCAUAACCUAGAGUUGGACCAGCGUGUACCAAGGUGGGGCUUGGCAGGAGUGGUCCACCCUUUUGGGAAGGAGUGUUUUAUCACUGACAUUGUUAAGGGUCACCACAGCAGAUUUUUAGUGGGUUUUGUUGUUUUUAAAUUCUCAUAGGCAGUGCACCUCUUAUUGCCUGUUCCAGCAUGAUCUGCUCCCACUGCCCACACCCACCAUUAACCUCCACCGUUGGUCUUUAGUGUCUUCUACUUUCCUUUUUGGAUUUUGUUUUUGUUUGUUUUAUUUUUUAAAUUUUUUAACUUUCCUUUAUGACACUCUUUCUUGUGGCACCUUGUUGGCUCUCUGCUCUGUGUCUCUUUCCCAUAUGAAUGAUUCCUAAAGGAAAGAUUUUUUCUAAUUAUCAGCUCUGUGUUAAGAAAUUAGUUGGAAAGAACUUAAAGUAUGAGGGUUCAUCAACUAUUUCUGGUGUAUUAGAAUACUCUAUUUCAUUUGGGUGUGUUUCAUUAAUGACUUCUACCCUCUUAUCCCUGCUGCUUCUGUAAAGCCUUCAAGACCCCUCAAAGUUAAUCUCUACAGGUGAAAUUUCAGGCUCCUGGUUUGGGUGGGCCUUUUCCAGAGUGUCUCAUGUACACUUUGUAGAUACAGCUUUGGAGUCAGACAGACCGGGGUUUGACUCCCUGACCCACCAUUUACUAGUGAUGUCACCUUGAAAAAAAUUAUUUAUUGUCUCACUUUGUUUAUCUGUAAAAUGGAGAACAUAACAAUGAUCUUGCUCCAUAGUGAGAAAUUAAUGCGAUUUUGUAUUUCAAGUGUUUAGCAGAGUGUGA